rnacentral:rRNA from 1 species
CUCCAAUAGCGUAUAUUAAAGUUGUUGCGGUUAAAAAGCUCGUAGUUGAAUCUCAGUUCAUGUUAAGUGGUCCGCCAUACGGCGGUUACUUCUUAACUGAACAUUUUACAGAUUUGCCUCUUGAUGCUCUUUACCGAGUGUCAUGAGCGAUCUGUACGUUUACUUUGAAAAAAUUAGAGUGCUCAAAGCAGGCAUUUUGCCCGAAUAAUCUUGCAUGGAAUAAUGGAAUAGGACCUUAGUUCUAUUUUGUUGGUCUCCGGAAUCUGAGGUAAUGAUUAAGAGGGACAGACGGGGGCAUUCGUAUUGCGGCGCUAGAGGUGAAAUUCUUGGACCGUCGCAAGACGAACUACAGCGAAAGCAUUUGCCAAGAAUGUUUUCAUUAAUCAAGAACGAAAGUUAGAGGUUCGAA